AGGUUUCCGUAAGUGAACCUGCGGAAGGAUCAUUA
rnacentral:rRNA from 1 species